CUCUACAUUCAUUUUACGUUGCUUCAUUUUUUCUGCAACUUUCAUAAAAACAUUUUUUUUGCAACAAAAUGACAAAACAAUAUACAGUUUAUUAAUAAUCAAUAAAGACAGGUAAUUACAAACAUACAGAGCGUGUUAUACACGCAGAAAAGAUCCUUAUUUGAUCAUCCUAUUACUUAGGAACGAUAAACAUAUAACCUCCACUUUCAUCUGAAGUUGUUUUACAUACAAGUAUCACAGUGCUGUAUCAGCUCCAUGAUAUCAAAAGCAAAUUUUAUUAACUUGGGAUACCAGUCAUAUCCACUAAAAUAUAAAAUAUCAGAGAUUUUGAUAAACAUUUUAAUAAUUCAUAUUAACAAUAUUAUUUCAAUGUGUUUUAGUUUGUUGAAAUGGUCUGCUUGGUAUACAUAAUAUACCAGGUGCUCCGCAGGGCGCAGCUUUAUACGACCGCAGAGGUCGAACCCUGAACAGUUGGGGCAAGUAUGGACAAAACAUUCAAGCGUGAUACAGCUCUGAAUUUGGAUUGUGAUCAAAUUUUUGACAUUACAUGGUUUUUUUUUACACAAAACAAAUGUCAAGAUUUUACAAAUCAAUUAAAGAUUUCUUCUUCAAACUUUUUAAAUCUAAAAUUAAAUAGUUGAUCAUGACACAGCAUAGGUUUCUGACACAGAACGAAUGUGGUCUAAUGAACUUAAAAGUUUUUUUUUGCCUUUGAGCAAUUCACUAUGCUGUUGAAUAUUAAUCCUCUCAAAAAAAUGUUUGAAGAAAUUUUCUUUUUAUUUAUGAAAUCUGAAAUGAGAAAAAUUUAACCCCCCCCUUUUUUUUUCACAUCCCCGUUUCCCUUUUUCCAAAACUGAUAUCAAUUCAAAUUUCUAAUGGAGUUUGCAACAAUAACUACUCUUUUAAAUACAUCAUAAAAUAUUAAAAUGUAAAAUAAAGUGCUUGUUAUCACUGAAUGGUAAAGAUUGAUUGGUAGUAAAAGUGAAUAUACAUUGUU
rnacentral:lncRNA from 1 species